UACGAAGGGGGCUAGCGUUGUUCGGAAUUACUGGGCGUAAAGCGCGUGUAGGCGGGUCUUUAAGUCAGGGGUGAAAUGCCAAGGCUCAACCUUGGAACUGCCUUUGAUACUGGAGACCUUGAGUCCGGGAGAGGUGAGUGGAAUUGCGAGUGUAGAGGUGAAAUUCGUAGAUAUUCGCAAGAACACCAGUGGCGAAGGCGGCUCACUGGCCCGGAACUGACGCUGAGACGCGAAAGCGUGAGGAGCAAACAGG
rnacentral:rRNA from 1 species